UUUUGCCUCUUGAUAAAUCAUAGAUAUUUGGAUUUUUUAAAAAUCAGUUAAAGAAGAGAAAGAAAUGUCAUGUUCACAUCCAUGGGGCUCCUCAGGUUUGGAAAGUCACUGAAACCUCCUCACACUUUGGAGACCCAGUCAAACGUGGAAGGCCUAUGAGAUCACUCUUGGCCGUGUCUGGUGGCUGGUCAGAGUGGCCAGUUCCCACACCUGUCUAAGGAGGUUUUUUUGCCUGGGAAGAACAGCUCCCUCUUUCCUCAAAGGCUGCAUGUCAGGAAAGUCAGUGUUAGGCUAUGCUAAACAUUUAGUUCAGAAAGAAAGAUCACGUUUAACCCUUUUCAGCCCUUUGAUCAAUAUAUAUCUUUUCUGAUUGGUUGCCUAUUGUCCCUCACAGAAUUGGUUUAGCAAAAAUAAGUAGACAUACUUCUGUGGUUUCUUUUAUCCAGGAGGAUGGUAAAACAGCCUUGAAGUCCUUCUUGGUCUCAAGAUGUGGAGUUCUCUGAAUAUUGCUUUGACUUUGGACCUUCAGGGUCAGAAGUAAAAUGAAAAAUAACAAUCACGUGCAGUUGCAGUGUUUUUAUAAUAGCAGUGGCAAAAACAUCAUAUACAAUUACAAACUAGAAAGUAGGAACAGUUGCAGGCUUUGCUGUCAUUUUGUCCCAGAGGAACUGGGAAAAUUAUUGAUGAAAGGGAUUUGGGAAAUGCACACAUUGCCUCAUUACACAGAAAUUCUGCUUUGUUGGAAGAAAUGGGAGAGGAGGAAUUUCUACAUCAGCAGACUGGAAGGUUCUUCCUACCAAAUAUAGUAAUAAUAACAAACAGACAUGUUUUUGUUUUAAGUAGGAGGUGGGAGUUAGCACAGCAGUUUAUUUAGCAGCAGCUUCCUGCACUUUGAUCAUGUGUAAGUGUAUGGCUCUUCCUUAAAAAGAAAGAGUGAUAGGGAAAAGAACCAGAUCAUUCCCUGUGAGUCAGGACUGGCUUCCUCUCCUCAUGUCUUGUGGCUCUGUUCUUUUUGUGGAGAGAGGUUCUGCAGAACAUACAGCACUGACUCCUGGAGUCUAGCUGAUAAAGUAACUUCGGCUUCAGGACCCCAAUACUGUGUAAAUCUUGGUGCUGCAAAGACCCCUCUCAGGAUAAAAACCAAGGCAGCCCUGGUGGAGCACUAGGCUUCCUAUCACAUAGGCUGCCACCUUCAUUCCCACAACUGCCUCAAGAGCAGAAGAUAAGGUCUGUGUCAUGUCCUGAGCUAAUCUGACAAAUCCAAACGUACAUUCCUACCUGAUCCAGAUCCCAUUUGUCCAACUGCUAGUUCCAGCAGGCUCACAAUUACCAUAUGGUAAUUGUGAUUAAAUUCCACCACUGUGGGCCAGGGCUUCAGUUUUAACUUGUCACAGCCUUUGCAUGGGCUAAACCUAUCAAGUCUCCUUGGGAUGAGGAACACAUCCAACAAGCAGAACACGACAGAGGCUUACACAGAUGUUCCCUCUGCAGGAAAGGCACUUCUCAUCCUAGUUUGUCCCAUGCAAAUGCAAUGCCUACCGAAGCCGCUAAGGGAGAUUCAAGGAGAGGCCCAGGUCCCAGGGAUUAGUCAUAGCUCAAAGAGCUGUGCAGGGAUGGAAAUGCCAGGAGUUUGCUGCACUUUGGGAAUGUGGAUUGACAGAGUUUUGCUGUUGUUUGUAUUUCCAGAAAUGUCAAGCUCAGGGCAAUGCAACAUUAGAAACGGGACAGAAAGGACCCAACGACUGUACUGAAAUGACAAAACACUCCUUGGCCUGGACAUCUCUUUCAGAUUACCAACAGCUGGAUUACAAUUUGAGAGUAAAUCUCUUCCAAGGGUGAAAAGUGAAUAUGAAUCAUAACCCCUGUCAUCCUGUCCAGAGUUGUCCAAAUGGACACCAAUGUUCCCUGUCAUCUCUGGUUGCUAGUUACCUCCAAUUCCAGUGCCAACAUAAUUUCUCCUCCAGACCUUUAGACACGUGGAGCUCUGAAAUAUCUUUCCCUAAUCUCUGUUUCCAAGGUCUCCAGGAUCUCUCCAUCUAAGCAAAUGUUGGAAACUGAGCAUUCAUCCAAGAAACUCUGAAAUAAUUGUCCCUUGUCGUAAUUUCUCAAGUACCAGCAUAAGGCAGAUUCCUUUUCCUUGUACAGCAUGUUCCAUGACAAGACCUUGCUGGGUAUUGAGGACUGCAUUGUCCUGGGUUUGUGUGGUCACACAGAAAAGAAGGACAUCUUUCCUCUGGGAGCCCAAAAUCAAUAUUGUCAAGACAAAGGUGUGAUUAAAAGGAAGGUGAAGAGGAAAGGAUUGGAGAUUAAAAUAAAGCCCCCUCGUGGCUAGAAGUAAAGAGGGGAUAAAAAGAGAAGUCACAGUUGGCAACUCUUUGUUAAGUAUUGUGGCAGAAAAUGAGAUCAAGAAGGCCUGGAGUGGUAAGAUGGUGAGGGUUUUGUGGAGCUGCUAGGAAGCUACUCACUUAGACGAGGAGAUUCAACAGGAGGUAAGUGGGCACUUGACUGAAGAAGGGGCACUGGGAUACAAAUAAAGAUGGUACCUUGCAGUACCCUCUGCGUAGAUCUCAUAUGUGAGGAUGAAAAGCAGAUAAAUUGGCAAACACAAGUAACCUCCUGGCUGGUGAUGAUGAGGCUAUUGUUCAGCACCCAGCCUCAGACCUGAUCAAAGGUCCUGCAGUCAACACAUGCCUUUUCUUGAGUCCUUGCAACUGCUGGUGUUGCUCCCCUGCUCAAAUCCAGGACUGCAGCAGGGUGAUUUCUACAUAUAAUUCCUUAUUUUCUGUUCCUUACAGGUGGCCCACUGAAGAUCCAAAGCUUGAUGAGAGAUUCCUACACCCCUGACAUAUUUCAGAAGGCAGUCAUAGAUCCCAGGCAUUGGCAUGGAAGGAGAAUUAGUGAGCUAGGAAGAUGGUAUGAGAAAUAUUUCCUAGAUCUUAAUGUGCAGAAAGAAAUGAAGAAGAAACAUGGGGGGAAUAAAACAACCAAUUCCUAGAAGAUGAAGGUUGAAGAUUGGUGUGCAUUCAACAAUGAGUCUUUUUCUUCCACCAUCUAAUAAACCUGCCUGUGAAACCUGAACCCAUUGCCUGCUGGCUGGUAACAGCAGAUUUGUUCUUGGUGCUUUCUCCCCUCUCUAUUAAAGUGUCUCUGGGGAGAGCAGUGUGAGAUAAGUCUGAAUAUGCAUACAAGAAAAGAAUCAUUUUGUUGUUCCCACCACUGGUAUGGUGGGAAGGAUUAGUGUGUGAGGUCCAUACCCUUGCAGAAGGAUGUGGUGUUGAGAGGAGCCCACACAGAAAUUCACCUGCUCAGCAUAUAAGUUGGAGCAGGACCUGA